rnacentral:misc_RNA from 1 species
GAUGAAGAACGCAGCGAAAUGCGAUAAGUAAUGCGAAUUGCAGAUUUCAGUGAGUCAUCGAAUCUUUGAACGCACAUUGCGCCCGCCAGUAUUCUGGCGGGCAUGCCUGUUCGAGCGUCAUUUCAACCCUCAAGCCCCCGGGCUUGGUGUUGGGGAUCGGCGUGCCCUCGCGGCGCGCCGUCCCCUAAAUCUAGUGGCGGUCUCGCUGUAGCUUCCUCUGCGUAGUAGCAACACUCGCACUGGAUCGCAGCGCGGCCACGCCGUUAAACCCCCCACUUCUGAAAGUUUGACCUCGGAUCAGGUAGGAAUACCCGCUGAACUUAAGCAUAUCAAUAAGCGGAGGA